AUUGAACGCUGGCGGCAGGCCUAACACAUGCAAGUCGAGCGGAGGAAGGGCGCUUGCUCCUGGAUUCAGCAGCGGACGGGUGAGUAAGGCCUAGGCAUCUGACUGGUAGUGGGGGAUAACGUCCGGAAACGGGCGCUAAUACCGCAUACGUGCUGAGGGAACAAGUGAAGGAUAUUAUGACGUCAGGCAAUCAGAUAAGCAUAGGUCGGAUUAGCUAGUUGGUGGCGUAAAGGCCUAACAAGGCGACGAUACGUAACUGGUCUGAGAGGAUGAACAGUCACACUGGAACUGAGACACGGCCCAGACUCCGACGGGAGGCAGCAGUGGGGAAUAUUGGACGAUGGGGGAAAGCCUAAUAUAGCCAUGUCGCGUGUGUGAAGAAGGUCUUCGGAUUGUAGAGCACAUUAAGUUUGGAGUAAGUGCAGUAAGUUAAUAACGUGCUGUAUUGACGUUACCAACAGAAUAAGCACCGGCUAAAUACGUG
rnacentral:rRNA from 1 species